UACGGAGGGUGCGAGCGUUGUCCGGAAUCAUUGGGCGUAAAGGGCGCGUAGGUGGCGGGACAAGCGUGCGGUGAAAGCUCGGGGCUCAACCCCGCGUCGGCCGUGCGAACUGUUUUGCUGGAGCACUGUAGAGGCAGGCGGAAUUCCGGGUGUAGCGGUGGAAUGCGUAGAGAUCCGGAAGAACACCGGUGGCGAAGGCGGCCUGCUGGGCAGUUGCUGACACUGAGGCGCGACAGCGUGGGGAGCAAACAGG
rnacentral:rRNA from 1 species